GUACGCUCGCGUAUUGUCCACGGCACAACGGGGCUAUCGCAGGCGUCACAGACAGAGACGCGCACGCAGCGCGCCCAUACGCACACACACACACACCUACACAUCGUUUUUAUCAAUCUCGCGCACCGUCUGCCGCCGAACAGCUGCGAUUCUCUGGGAAAGUGCUCUUCGCCGGCACGACUGAAGCGUUUUUCCUUUUACCUCUCUCUUGUUUUUUCUUUGACGGAGCGGUACGAAGUGAUCGACGCGCAUCUCAACCUCACCUCUUCGGCGACGACGACUGAGGACAUCAAAACAGUGCUGCUUAUCGACGCCUCCUUAAAAGAAAACGAAGAACUUGCUUGACUCGAGUCGCUUUACUCCACGCAAGCUCGAGAGGGAGGGGAAUGCCUGUCGCCCCCGCUGCGGUGGACCAGCGCCCGUCCAUCUGGACGCUCUUCAAGCAACAGCGUCUGCCGGCGUGGCAACCCAUCUUGACACCGCAGCACUCGGCCCUCUGCCUCAUUGCGGUUGCAGUGGUGUGCUUGCCACUGAGUCUGUCGCUCUUUCACGCGAACGCGUCCGCGGUGGACAUCACGGUGCGCUACGACCAUCAGCAGCAAUGCUCGUUUGGGUACAACAACACCGGCGCCUUUCGGUAUGAGGCGUCGCCGGGGAACGUGUGGCAGACGGGUUGCGUCACGGAUGUCCCGUUUCGCGUCGACAAGCACCUCAAGGCACCGGUGUAUGUCUACUACGGCCUUGACAACUUCUACCAGAACCACCGUCGCUUCUCCAAGUCCAAGAGCGACGCGCAGCUGGCCGGGCAGCGCGUCUCCGCGACGGCCAUUGCCUCUGCCACGUCGCCUCUCACGUACCCAGGCGAGUUGCGCCACGCCGGUGAUCAAGGCAUUAACCUCUUGGGCACUUUCUUCCACUACAGCGACUUUGUGUAUGUACCGGCUGGACUGAUUCCGUGGUCCAUGUUCAACGACACAUUCGCCCUGUACCGCAUCACUCACCACGAUGCCGCCGCGGUGACGGCGCCGUCGCUGCGGCUCAUCUGCAAUGGCAGCGCCUUUUCACGCUUCACAAACGAGCCGCUCGACGGUGCCGGCCGCUGCCACAAAAAAGGCAUUGCCUGGACGUCGGACGUAGAGUUCAAAUACAAAAAACCGCACUUUCCACCUCCUUCGUCGCUUCGACCCGUAUGGAGCGCACCAAAAUGGGCGUAUGAGGCCGCGGACGGUGAUGUGAACCCCAACCCUCCAUCCCGCAUGCCGUCCGACAAUGCUUAUUUCAACGAAGGCUGGUACGCCGAUGAGCCUGGUCACCGCAUUCCAGUCACGACGGACGAGGACUUGAUGGUCUGGGCGCGCGUGGCCUCACUGCCCAAGUUCCGGAAGCUGUAUCGCGUCAUCGACGAGGACCUGGUGCCGGGCACCUAUCUGAUGCGCAUUCAAGAGCAUUUCAACGCGGCCAGUUACGGCGGCACAAAGAGCUUCUCACUAGCGACGCUGUCGUGGCUCGGUGGCCGCAACACUUUCAUGGCGUGGAUGUACUUCACGAUCGGCGCCGUCUCUGCCGUCAGCGGUGCUUCUUUUCUGUGCAUUCACCACUGGUACGAUGACCGAGCCCUACGCGCCGUGGCGAUGCUGCUGAAGGACGACUAAGGCAUCCUUCUUCAGUCUUAUGCGCCGCUCUUCUGUCUUCUGUGUUUGCGGGGGUGAUGGUGAACUCGCGUGAUCCAGAUGAUGAUGAUGACGAGAGAGAGGGCGGGCGAGUUCGUUGGUGCGCUCACGUCGAUUCUUUGGCGCUGUUUCGAGGCCCUCACUCACGCGUUUUGUGGUGCGGGCCCGACGGUCCUUUUUUUUUUUCGUCCGCUUUGAGCUCUUUCGGAGAUUUCUUCACGAAUCGCCGCCCCUGUUCUCCACUUGCUCUCUCUCUCUCGCCUUUCUUGUGGCCCUGUUUUGCCCUCUCGGGCGGUCGAGCUGUCGGGGGAGAAGACAUGCCACAUUUGCAGAGUCGCAAGGAGGCUACCCCAUCCAGAAGGGAAGAGACAGCUUUCACGACGCAUGCAUGCACGCACGCACUUGCGUUGGUGCUUCCGUCGUGGCACAGUCUCGGGAAGACAGGCUGAAAAAGAGAAAAGGGGAGGACGUGCCCGCUUUCGAUCUUCGAUGCAGCGCGCUAGCGGGUGGUGGCGUGCUGUUUUAUCUUUUCUGAGGGGGAGGGCACGUCGGCGUCGCCAGCACAGUCGGCGGCCGUUAUCGCUUCCUCUCCUCCUGUGUGUGAAUGGCAGCUCUCCCUUCGGGACUGCACGCUGCGCCCUGCGCUCUUGUGCAGCCUACCUUUGUCGCCCCCCAUUACUCUCUCUCCCUGCUAUCCUUAUGCUGUUACCGCGCCACGCAUUUUCGCCCCUCUUCCUUUCAAUCUUCACCUGCUCACUCGUGCCUAG
rnacentral:misc_RNA from 1 species